AUUGAACGCUGGCGGCAGGCCUAACACAUGCAAGUCGAGCGGGGUUUUCGGACCUAGCGGCGGACGGGUGAGUAAUGCGUAGGAAGCUACCCGAUAGAGGGGGAUACCAGUUGGAAACGACUGUUAAUACCGCAUAAUGUCUACGGACCAAAGUGUGGGACCUUCGGGCCACAUGCUAUCGGAUGCGCCUACGUGGGAUUAGCUAGUUGGUGGGGUAAUGGCUCACCAAGGCGACGAUCCCUAGCUGGUUUGAGAGGAUGAUCAGCCACACUGGAACUGAGACACGGUCCAGAGUCCUACGGGAGGCAGCAGUGGGAAAUAUUGGACAAUGGGCGCAAGCCUGAUCCAGCCAUGCCGCGUGUGUGAAGAAGGCCUUCGGGUUGUAAAGCACUUUCAGUAGGGAGGAAGAGUUGAGUGUUAAUAGUACUCAGCUUUGACGUUACCUACAGAAGAAGCACCGGCUAACUCUGUGCCAGCCGCCGCAGUAAAAC
rnacentral:rRNA from 1 species